rnacentral:lncRNA from 1 species
GAUGCAAUGCCUGAUAAAUCUGGAAGAGAGGAGAAUAAUUAGGGAAUUUGUUAAUUAUUACCCCAUUAGCAAUUCUGUUACAGAGUCCAAAUGGUAGUUUACAACACCAAUUUAGGCCUUAUCGGAUAAGAGGUAUUGACUCAGUAUGAGUCCCUGGAGAGACAUGCUAGUGAAAUUCAAACUUACUUGUGAAUGUAAACCCAAAGGCAUAUAGAAUUGUAAUCAAGGCAUAGCCUAGUAUGUGAAGUCAGUGUAAGUUUGACAAUGUGGGAAGAGUAGACAGCAGAUUUUCAGACCAUCUCAGAGUUUGUUCUUCCUCCCACCUGCACAGAGAUGAAGAAGGACAUAAAACAUCACUCUCUCUCUCUCUUUUUAAAUUUAGUUUAUGUAUAUGGGUAUACUGUCAAUGUCUUCAGACACAUCAGAAGAGGGCAUCAGAUCCCAUUAUAGAUGGUUGUGAGCCACCAUGUGGUUGCUGGGAAUUGAACUCAGGAUCUCUGGAAGAGCAGCUGGUGUUCCUAACGGCUGAGCCAUCUAAUAACAGCCCCAAAUAACAUCAUUCUAAUUACAGGUGUGGAGUAUUGCACACUUGGAUGGCACCUGACCCUGUGGUAUGUAUACUCCAAGAAUGAGCUCAUCCAACCCUUACAGUUUACAAGGGAGGGGCUGUCAGUGUGCUUGUUUUGUUACUAAGGAACAUGGAGCCUAACUGGUCACCAAACUGGUUCAAGGAUGACAACUGGGCAUGGGCAGAGUUGGCAUGACCCAAGAUCCAGGCUUGGGCUUAGUUCAUUCCUGAGUGCCUUGGCCAUUAGCUGGUUAACAGCAAGAGGCAGAUAAUACUUUGACCAUACCUCCCAGGUGCUCCUCAGCUAUAAAAGUAAACCAAUCGACUCCUCUUGUUGUGUGCUUUUUUUUGCCCCUGUCUUCACCAUUUCAGACAAUGUGCUCUAGGCAGGGUGAGAUCUGGCUGCUUGGCCCUUUGCCAUACACCAGUGGUAUAUGGAACUCGCAAUUCAGAUUUCCCUCUCUAAGUUUCCCACCCUGAUUCUUGUAGUGAGGGGGUGCACUUUCUCUUGGAUACAUUCUACAUUGCUAUUUGUUUUUCUUCUGGCUGACAUAUGUGUGUGUGUGUGUGUGUGUGUGUGUGUGUGUGUGUGUGUGUAUGUGUGUAUGUAUGCAUAUUAGAAUGGGAAAUUAAAUCCCAUUACAGAUGGUGGUGAGCCACCAUGUGGUUGCUGGGAAUUGAAUUCAGGAUCUUUAGAAAAGUAGCCAGUGUUCUUAAUUGCUGAGCCACCAUCUCCAGUCCACGUACUUUUGUUUAAACCUUCUGCUUUUGGCAUGUCAUAUAGUAAAGAUAAUUGUCUGAGAGAUUUCUAUUUCUUUCCAGAAAAUUUUCUGUGGGGCCCUAAUGAUAUUAACACUGGAAAAUAUCUAAGACCAGGUGCUGGAGAGAUGGCUUAGUAGUUAAGAGCAUUGGGUGCUCUUGCAGAAGACCUGGGUUCAAUUCCCAUACCUACAUGGCAGCUCACAAAACCAUCUAUAACUCUAGUUCUAAGAUAUCCAACACCUUCUUCUGGCUUCUGCAGAAAUGCAUGUGAUGUGCACACAUACAUAUAGGAAAACACUCAAACACAUAAAAAUAAAUCUUUCUUGUUUUAAGGAAAGAAAACAUAUAGAGAUCCUUGUCUUGAGCAUGGGCGAGCUUAUUGCGAGUGUCCCUAAACCACCCCAUGUGUUAAACCAAGAGGGGGCUAAUGGCAGGAAUUGAAAAAAAUGGUUAUUGAAAACAAAAAGGCAGUUAUUGACUUACUGAAGACAAAACAAUGGCUGUGCAGGAGAACUGCUAUGGUGAGCUGGAUCCACAUUCAUUCAGCUACACUGCAUAAGGCUCUCACUGCUCUUGCUGCCGCUCCUAGGCUGGGUGACCUGGGCAUUGGGUCAGGCAGUUUUCCAUGGGUAAUCUUCACAGUGAAGGAGCCAGUUACAGUAAAGAAGCAACUCCUCCCAGGUGGUUGCACUCACUGUUGGUCGUCAGCAUGCCAGAUGAUGUGGGAGUUUGAUCAUCUCUAGAGCUGGAGAUGUUCAGUUUCCUUGUAGUCUUCUGACACUGCGCAGCCUUUAAACUUACAUUAUUAAGAUGGGUGUUAUGGGUGUCUAUAAUCCUAGCACCCUGGAGGCUAAGGAGGAUCUUGAAUUUAUGGCAAACCUGGGCUACAUAUGUCUAGACCAACCUAGGCUAUGUGAGGAGACCCUGUUUCAAAACUCAAAGACCAAAAUUCCAAACCAAACUUCUUAAAUCAGUGUUUUUUAGCUUUAUUAUUUUUCAAAUCACCACUUUAUUGCCAUUAUUGUUAGCUGUUUCUUUUUAAACUGGCUUAAAUGUAUAGGUUUUAAGAGUCAGGAGAGAAUGCUUCAUUUGGUUUUCUGGAGUUUGGUUGAUGAAAUUGUUAUUUUCUUCCCAGGGCUUUCUGAAGCUGCAAGACUGUCUCCUCCUAACAUUGUUAUUUGUCUUGUAGACUCCUAAUUUCCUUAACUCAUUUUCAGGAAGGAGCCCUUUCUCUCCUGUGAUGAUUUUAGCCACCCUUCUUGAGACCUUUCUGAUCCCAUUAUCUUUACCAAGAACUGAGCUCAAAAGAGGCAUUCAUCAUAGCAUACCACAGUCUUAUUCCAAUGGUUUCUUAGGGUAGAACGAGACAAGUCUUAGUAUGGGGUCAGUGAGCCUCGUUAGAUAGGAGAAUGUCUACUAUUUGAGUUUGGGAUGAAGGAUGACUCAGAACGGCCAUUGACUAGAAGUAUCAUGAUGGCCCAGGAUUCUAUCAAGGGUGUCAAGGGUGAUUUGGGCUGUGUGAUUAGCUAUAUAGAGAGACUUGGUUGGGAGCAAAGUAGGAUGGGAAUAGUUUAGAGGGCUGUCUAAGGUCAAUGAAGAAGGAUGGAUCACAUUAGAGGUAAGAAGGAGUCUUAUUUUUAGGGUUAUCUGAUUUCCUUAUUUGACCUUGAAUGUUGUUCUCUGAACUGGCCCCAUACCAUUUACCUUCUGAGUGAGUCCCUGUGUAUAGUUAUAUUACUCCUUUAAUUGUGCAAUUAGAUAGAUGUUCAAUUCUGCCAGACUGACUAGUGCAUAUGAAACCUG